UGGUUUUCAACAGGUGCAGAUCACACAGUUGCCCAGAAGAUACAGAUACGGUUUACUGAGCCAGAGAGCAUAUUUACAAGAAGACCAAUAUCCAACACAUGCAGCUGCGUGUUGGAGGUCCCAAACAACUAUGCAUCAUACCCUGAAUUGGCAGAAGAGUUUGCAAAUGUCCUUGAUGCCAACAUGUGGGUGAUGGACAUUGUUUAGUACAUGCUGGCCAGUUUCUACGAGAAUACAAUCCCACAUAUUUUUUUUAUCAACACCUGCUCCUUGUUCGACGUUGUACUCCCAAAGUUUCCUCAGUUUCACACAGUUUGGAUAUUUGGCAUAAACAAGUACUGACAGAACUCAGAAAAUGGCUUUAAUCAGCAACACAGGACUGCUUUUUUUCUGUUACUUUUGAACCUUUUUCUAAUGUAAACAAAAGAAAGAUGGUGAUUCAUCUUAACUGUGCAAUGUGGCGAAUUCUUCAAGUUACAAUUAGAAAACUCUUCAUGUUAAUGUGAAAAUGUGCUCUUCACUGACUUUCUUGAUAUAGAAAUUAUUAUUUUUAAGCAAAAUUUGAACUGCAGGGCUUUAAAAAAAUUUUUUUUCGUAUUUUAAAGUCAGAAGCACGACGCAUUGUGAAUUAAUGUUUACAUUCAAUAGGGCGGUCCUUUUCUUUUAUAUUAUGCAAAUAGAUUUACACAAGCACAUGAAACAUUUUGCCAUGUUAUCUUGUGAUGUUCUUGCUGAUGCUAGUCCUGCAGAUUACAAUGUCCCUUUGUUGAAGCUACAUAGUUUAGUAAAAAUUAAGUUUUGCAAUGCUUUGCAAUGCAACUGAUGGCACACAGGCCAGUUUUCAAGUUGUGUAGGGAAGUCCUGACACUUUAUGAAGGCAUCAAGACAGGGGCUGUUACACUGUUGRUUAUAUAAUCUCAUAUCCAAGGGAUGCCCCCCCCCCAAAAAAAAGCCCCAUCCAUACACCCCCACCCCUCAACUUACAAAGUCAUAGUUGACUUUUUUGGGUAAUUGUUAGAAAUCACUGGUAGUUAUGUUACUUUCAGAGCCUGGCUGUUUUGCAUUGUUGAUGCUCAAAAACCACAAAUAAAACUUUUUUUGAACACAA